CUGAAACAUCUAAGUACCCCGAGGAAAAGAAAUCAACCGAGAUUCCCCCAGUAGCGGCGAGCGAACGGGGAGCAGCCCAGAGCCUGAAUCAGUAUGUGUGUUAGUGGAAGCGUCUGGAAAGGCGCGCGAUACAGGGUGACAGCCCCGUACACAAAAAUGCACAUGCUGUGAGCUCGAUGAGUAGGGCGGGACACGUGGUAUCCUGUCUGAAUAUGGGGGGACCAUCCUCCAAGGCUAAAUACUCCUGACUGACCGAUAGUGAACCAGUACCGUGAGGGAAAGGCGAAAAGAACCCCGGCGAGGGGAGUGAAAAAGAACCUGAAACCGUGUACGUACAAGCAGUGGGAGCACGCUUAGGCGUGUGACUGCGUACCUUUUGUAUAAUGGGUCAGCGACUUAUAUUCUGUAGCAAGGUUAACCGAAUAGGGGAGCCGAAGGGAAACCGAGUCUUAACUGGGCGUUAAGUUGCAGGGUAUAGACCCGAAACCCGGUGAUCUAGCCAUGGGCAGGUUGAAGGUUGGGUAACACUAACUGGAGGACCGAACCGACUAAUGUUGAAAAAUUAGCGGAUGACUUGUGGCUGGGGGUGAAAGGCCAAUCAAACCGGGAGAUAGCUGGUUCUCCCCGAAAGCUAUUUAGGUAGCGCCUCGUGAAUUCAUCUCCGGGGGUAGAGCACUGUUUCGGCAAGGGGGUCAUCCCGACUUACCAACCCGAUGCAAACUGCGAAUACCGGAGAAUGUUAUCACGGGAGACACACGGCGGGUGCUAACGUCCGUCGUGAAGAGGGAAACAACCCAGACCGCCAGCUAAGGUCCCAAAGUCAUGGUUAAGUGGGAAACGAUGUGGGAAGGCCCAGACAGCCAGGAUGUUGGCUUAGAAGCAGCCAUCAUUUAAAGAAAGCGUAAUAGCUCACUGGUCGAGUCGGCCUGCGCGGAAGAUGUAACGGGGCUAAACCAUGCACCGAAGCUGCGGCAGCGACGCUGAUGCGUUGUUGGGUAGGGGAGCGUUCUGUAAGCCUGCGAAGGUGUGCUGUGAGGCAUGCUGGAGGUAUCAGAAGUGCGAAUGCUGACAUAAGUAACGAUAAAGCGGGUGAAAAGCCCGCUCGCCGGAAGACCAAGGGUUCCUGUCCAACGUUAAUCGGGGCAGGGUGAGUCGACCCCUAAGGCGAGGCCGAAAGGCGUAGUCGAUGGGAAACAGGUUAAUAUUCCUGUACUUGGUGUUACUGCGAAGGGGGGACGGAGAAGGCUAUGUUGGCCGGGCGACGGUUGUCCCGGUUUAAGCGUGUAGGCUGGUUUUCCAGGCAAAUCCGGAAAAUCAAGGCUGAGGCGUGAUGACGAGGCACU
rnacentral:rRNA from 1 species